AAUCAACGCUGGCGGCGUGCCUCAGACAUGCAAGUCGAACGAUUAAACUUCUCUUCGGAGAAGAUAUAAAGUGGCGCACGGGUGAGUAACACGUAGGUAAUGUACCUUUGGGUGGGGAAUAACUUAGGGAAACUUAAGCUAAUACCGCAUAAUGCAGCGGCUCCUUCGGGAGACAGUUGUUAAAGAUUUAUCGCCUAAAGAGCAGCCUGCGGCAGAUUAGCUAGUUGGUAAGGUAACGGCUACCAAGGCUACGAUCUGUAUCCGACCUGAGAGGGUGGUCGGGACACACUGACACUGAAUAACGGGUCAGACUCCUACGGGAGGCAGCAGUCGGGAA
rnacentral:rRNA from 1 species